rnacentral:rRNA from 1 species
UCCGUAGGUGAACCUGCGGAGGGAUCAUUACUGAGUUUACGCUCUAUAACCCUUUGUGAACAUACCUAUAACUGUUGCUUCGGCGGGUAGGGUCUCCGCGACCCUCCCGGCCUCCCGCCUCCGGGCGGGUCGGCGCCCGCCGGAGGAUAACCAAACUCUGAUUUAACGACGUUUCUUCUGAGUGGUACAAGCAAAUAAUCAAAACUUUUAACAACGGAUCUCUUGGUUCUGGCAUCGAUGAAGAACGCAGCGAAAUGCGAUAAGUAAUGUGAAUUGCAGAAUUCAGUGAAUCAUCGAAUCUUUGAACGCACAUUGCGCCCGCCAGCAUUCUGGCGGGCAUGCCUGUUCGAGCGUCAUUUCAACCCUCAAGCUCUGCUUGGUGUUGGGGCCCUACAGCUGAUGUAGGCCCUCAAAGGUAGUGGCGGACCCUCCCGGAGCCUCCUUUGCGUAGUAACUUUACGUCUCGCACUGGGAUCCGGAGGGACUCUUGCCGUAAAACCCCCCAAUUUCCAAAGGUUGACCUCGGAUCAGGUAGG